AGAGCGAGUCUUCAUGGGGAAAUUGUCACUGCUUAUGGACCUAAACCUGGGUGAUCUAUCCAUGACUAGGAUGAAGCUUGGGUGAAACUAAGUGGAGGUCCGAACCGACUGAUGUUGAAAAAUCAGCGGAUGAGUCAUGGUUAGGGGUGAAAUUCCACUUGAACCCAGAGCUAGCUGGUUCUCCCCGAAAUGUGUUGAGGCGCAACAGUUGACUAGACCAUCUAGGGGUAAAUAACUAUUUCGGUACGGGCCGCGAGAGUGGUACCAAAUCAAGGCAAACUAUGAAUACUAGAUUGCGCCAAUAAAAGGGGUAAAGGUCAGCCAGUGAGACGAUGGGGGAUAAGCUUCAUCGUCGAGAGGGAAACAACCCAAAUCAUUAACUAAUGCCCCUAAAUGACCGCUUAGUGAUGAAGGAAGUACGAGUGAAAAUACAACCAGGAGGUUUUCCUAGAAGCAACCAACCUUGAAAGAGUGCAUAAUAGCUCACUGAUCGAGUGCUCUUGCGCCUAAGAUGAACAGGACUAAGCAAUCUGUCGAAGCUAUGGGAUGUAAAAAUACAUCGGUAGGGGAGCGUUCCACCUCAGAGGGAAGCACCAGUGCGAGCAGGUGUGGAUGAAGUGGAAGAGAGAAUGUCAGCUUGAGUAACGAAAACAUUGGUGAGAAUACAAUGCUCCGAAAACCUAAGGGUUCCUCCACAAGGUUCGUCCAUGGAGGGUGAGUCAAGGCCUAAGAUCAUGCCGAAAGGCGUAGUCGAUGGAAAAUAGGUUAAUAUUCUUGUACUACCCCUUGUUGGUACCAAGGGACAGAGGAGGUUAGGUUAGCUGAAAUAUGGUUAUCGGUUCAAGGACGCAAGGUGACCCUCUAUACAUUGAUUCAAAGGUAAAAUAA
rnacentral:ncRNA from 1 species